GUGCUCGCUUCGGCAGCACAUACGCUAAAAUUGGAACGAUACAGAGAUUAGCAUGGCCCCUACGCAAGGAUGACACGCAAAUUCGUGAAGCGUUAAUAAAAAAA
rnacentral:snRNA from 1 species